UCGAUCAGAGCAGGGGAAAAACAAGGGUUAACCCUUGUUCUUGCAAGUUCAUCAAAUCAUCAAGGAAAUGCGAUGUUAAAUGAUUGCAUGUCUUCAAAUUUUCAAGUAGCUCAACAUACCCAAUAGAGUGGAAUCAUGUCGAGACGGAAUCAAGCACGGAAGACUACGGGUCAAGAAGUGGCGAGGAAACAAAUAUGAACACGGAUGCAUGAGGUUAUACGGAUAACGGGCGAAUUAUCACAAGAAUUAGAGAUCGAAGACCGAGUCACGAGAUAGAUUGUACGGGAAUAAUAAGUAUGUACUAUUAGUAAAC